GAUGAACGCUGGCGGCGUGCCUAAUACAUGCAAGUCGAGCGAACAGACGAGGAGCUUGCUCCUCUGACGUUAGCGGCGGACGGGUGAGUAACACGUGGAUAACCUACCUAUAAGACUGGGAUAACUUCGGGAAACCGGAACUAAUACCGGAUAAUAUAUUGAACCGCAUGGUUCAACAGUGAAAGACGGUUUUGCUGUCACUUAUAGAUGGAUCCGCGCCGCAUUAGCUAGUUGGUAAGGUAACGGCUUACCAAGGCAACGAUGCGUAGCCGACCUGAGAGGGUGAUCGGCCACACUGGAACUGAGACACGGUCCAGACUCCUACGGGAGGCAGCAGUAGGGAAUCUUCCGCAAUGGGCGAAAGCCUGACGGAGCAACGCCGCGUGAGUGAUGAAGGUCUUCGGAUCGUAAAACUCUGUUAUUAGGGAAGAACAAAUGUGUAAGUAACUAUGCACGUCUUGACGGUACCUAAUCAGAAAGCCACGGCUAACUACGUG
rnacentral:rRNA from 1 species